rnacentral:lncRNA from 10 species
AAGAGAUGUGGUGUCGCUGUCACCCAGGCUGGAGUGCAGUGGCGAACAUGGCUCACUGCAGCCUUGACCUCUUAGGCUCGAGCAAUCCUCCUGCCUCAGUCCCCCAAGUAACUUGGACUAUAGGCACCCACCACCACACCCAGCUAAUGUUUAUAUUUUUCGUAGAGACAGAGUUUUGCUGUGUUGCCAGGCUGAUCAACUCCUGAGCUUAUGCAAUCCACUCACCUCGGCCUCCCAAAGUGCCAGGAUUACAGGCGUGAGCCACCUUGCCCGGCCAAGAUGAGUGAAUUGGAUUUCCCUGUGCAGCAGGCAAGAAGAAUCUGUUGGAUGAUUACAACAUUGCUGGAUUGAUAGCAGCCUCACCUGCCAGGCUCAAACUCCAGAUCCAAAGUCCACAAAUAUAUCAUAAAUCUGAAGAGGAACUGGGAGAAGCUU